rnacentral:rRNA from 1 species
CACGUAGGCACCAAGCGUUGUCCGGAUUUAUUGGGCGUAAAGAGCUCGUAGGCGGUUGAGUAAGUCGGGUGUGAAAACUCUGGGCUUAACCCAGAGCCGCCACCCGAUACUGCUCUGACUUGAGUUCGGUAGGGGAGCAGGGAAUUCCUAGUGUAGCGGUGAAAUGCGCAGAUAUUAGGAAGAACACCCGUGGCGAAGGCGGCUCUCUGGGACGGUACUGACGCUGAGACGCGAAAGCGUGGGGAGCGAACAGG